rnacentral:rRNA from 1 species
CCCUAUGGGGUGACCAAAACGGUUAUUCAUCAACGCAUCACAAACGCCAAGCAGCUUCCGGUUUUUGUUGAACGCUGGCGUGUGGCUCAUGAACCGGUGCAAAGCGGUGCCUGGACGCAAGCUCUGCUCAAGCUGGCGGAUGAAAAAGCGGAAAUGGUGGAGAUCGACCGCAAGCGGGCGUUGAAGCGGCGCGAUCUGAUCCUUUCGCUUAAAGGCGGGCAUGAAAUUGCCAAGUAAAAGCAAUCCAUAUAUAAUGAUUAUCAAGAAAGGAAAUUGGCGCAGGAGACUGCGCUAAUUUUAUGGUGGAUUAUGGAUGCCUUAACAUCCCGGAAAAUUUCAAUGAAUGCAAAACAAUUUAUGGCUGAUGGAUAUCAUUGUUCCGAAUCCAUAUUACUGGCGGCGGGAGAGC